rnacentral:rRNA from 1 species
UAGGGGGCAAGCGUUAUCCGGAUUUACUGGGUGUAAAGGGAGCGUAGACGGCCACGCAAGUCUGAAGUGAAAUGCCAGUGCCCAACACUGGAACUGCUUUGUAAACUGUGAGGCUGGAGUGCAGGAGAGGUAAGGGGAAUUCCUAGUGUAGCGGUGAAAUGCGUAGAUAUUAGGAGGAACACCAGUGGCGAAGGCGGCUUACUGGACUGUAACUGACGUUGAGGCUCGAAGGCGUGGGGAGCAAA